UAGGGAAUCUUCGGCAAUGGACGAAAGUCUGACCGAGCAACGCCGCGUGAGUGAAGAAGGUUUUCGGAUCGUAAAACUCUGUUGUUAGAGAAGAACAAGGACGUUAGUAACUGAACGUCCCCUGACGGUAUCUAACCAGAAAGCCACGGCUAACUACGUGCCAGCAGCCGCGGUAAUACGUAGGUGGCAAGCGUUGUCCGGAUUUAUUGGGCGUAAAGCGAGCGCAGGCGGUUUCUUAAGUCUGAUGUGAAAGCCCCCGGCUCAACCGGGGAGGGUGAUUGGAAACUGGGAGACGUGAGUGCAGAAGAGGAGAGUGGAAUUCCAUGUGUAGCGGUGAAAUGCGUAGAUAUAUGGAGGAACACCAGUGGCGAAGGCGGCUCUCUGGUCUGUAACUGACGCUGAGGCUCGAAAGCGUGGGGAGCAAACAGG
rnacentral:rRNA from 1 species